CUUUCAACAACGGAUCUCUUGGUUCCAGCAUCGAUGAAGAACGCAGCGAAAUGCGAUAAGUAAUGUGAAUUGCAGAAUUCAGUGAAUCAUCGAAUCUUUGAACGCACAUUGCGCCCCUCGGUAUUCCGGGGGG
rnacentral:rRNA from 8 species